GGCCUUAUGGUCUAGUAGCAUGAUUCUUCCUUUGGGUUGUCAAUUCAGACUCUCACCUGGAAGAGGUCUCGGGUUCAAUUCCCGAUGAGGCCC